AGUGAACGCUGGCGGUAGGCCUAACACAUGCAAGUCGAACGGCAGCACAGUAAGAGCUUGCUCUUACGGGUGGCGAGUGGCGGACGGGUGAGGAAUACAUCGGAAUCUACUUUUUCGUGGGGGAUAACGUAGGGAAACUUACGCUAAUACCGCAUACGACCUACGGGUGAAAGCAGGGGAUCUUCGGACCUUGCGCGAUUGAACGAGCCGAUGUCGGAUUAGCUAGUUGGCGGGGUAAAGGCCCACCAAGGCGACGAUCCGUAGCUGGUCUGAGAGGAUGGUCAGCCACACUGGAACUGAGACACGGUCCAGACUCCUACGGGAGGCAGCAGUGGGGAAUAUUGGACAAUGGGCGCAAGCCUGAUCCAGCCAUACCGCGUGGGUGAAGAAGGCCUUCGGGUUGUAAAGCCCUUUUGUUGGGAAAGAAAAGCAGCAGGUUAAUACCCCGCUGUUCUGACGGUACCCAAAGAAUAAGCACCGGCUAACUUCGUG
rnacentral:rRNA from 1 species